GAUGAACGCUGGCGGCGUGCCUAAUACAUGCAAGUCGAGCGAACGGACGAGAAGCUUGCUUUUCUGAUGUUAGCGGCGGACGGGUGAGUAACACGUGGAUAACCUACCUAUAAGACUGGGAUAACUUCGGGAAACCGGAGCUAAUACCGGAUAAUAUUUUGAACCGCAUGGUUCAAAAGUGAAAGACGGUCUUGCUGUCACUUAUAGCUGGAUCCGCGCUGCAUUAGCUAGUUGGUAAGGUAACGGCUUACCAAGGCAACGAUGCAUAGCCGACCUGAGAGGGUGAUCGGCCACACGGGAACUGAGACACGGUCCAGACUCCUACGGGAGGGAGCAGUAGGGAAUCUUCCGCAAUGGGCGAAAGCCUGACGGAGCAACGCCGCGUGAGUGAUGAAGGUCUUCGGAUCGUAAAACUCUGUUAUUAGGGAAGAACAUAUGUGGAAGUAACUGUGCACAGCGUGACGGUACCUAAUCAGAAAGCCACGGCUAACUACGUG
rnacentral:rRNA from 1 species